rnacentral:lncRNA from 1 species
GUUCAUUUUUCUUUAUGGCCCUGAUUUUACCCUCGAUUUUUAUCUUACAUGCGGUAUUAAUUAGGUCAUUUUAAUUACCGUCGUCUAAUCAUCAUUAUAGCCGACCUCGGAAUUCGUUUCGACACGACGGCUAUCUUUCCUUCUUCUUCAACUCUUUAUCUUUCGUUUUCAUCGCUUUCUUUUACUUCUUCUUCGUUUCUUACAACACUUCAUCCCUUCCAUCGAACCCCUUUCUCAUCUUUCUCUCUUUUGAGUAAUGGCACCGGUUCCGCCUCUUCCUUCUCAUCCGUCCCUGGAUUAUACUAUGCUUAAACCCUUUAUCGAUUCAGACUCAUCUCGAUUUAUUUUGGGUCCUUCUUUUAUAGACGUGCUAUCCCUUAUUGACUUACUC